rnacentral:rRNA from 1 species
AGCGAACGCUGGCGGCAGGCUUAACACAUGCAAGUCGAGCGGGCAUCCUUGUGGUGUCAGCGGCAGACGGGUGAGUAACGCGUGGGAACGUGCCCUUCGGUUCGGAAUAACUCAGGGAAACUUGAGCUAAUACCGGAUACGUGCGAGAGCAGAAAGGUUUAUCUGCCGAAGGAUCGGCCCGCGUCUGAUUAGCUAGUUGGUGAGGUUACGGCUCACCAAGGCGACGAUCAGUAGCUGGUCUGAGAGGAUGAUCAGCCACACUGGGACUGAGACACGGCCCAGACUCCUGCGGGACGGCGCAGGGGGAAAUAUUGGAACAGGGGGCCAACCCUUACCCACCCUUGCUGCGGGAGGUUUGCAGCCGUAGGGGUUGAAAAGCUCUUUUCUCCGGGGCGAUAAGGACGGUACCGAAGAAAUAAGCCCCGGCUAACUUCGUG